CAGUCGCCGCGGGAAUACGUAGGUGGCAAGCGUUGUCCGGAAUUAUUGGGCGUAAAGGGCUCGCAGGCGGUUUCUUAAGUCUGAUGUGAAAGCCCCCGGCUCAACCGGGGAGGGUCAUUAGAAACUGGGAAACUUGAGUGCAGAAGAGGAGAGUGGAAUUCCACGUGUAGCGGUGAAAUGCGUAGAGAUGUGGAGGAACACCAGUGGCGAAGGCGACUCUCUGGUCUGUAACUGACGCUGAGGAGCGAAAGCGUGGGGAGCGAACAGGAUUAGAUACCCCUGUAGUCCCUGUCUCUUAUAC
rnacentral:rRNA from 1 species